UGGCGGCGUGCCUAACACAUGCAAGUCGAACGGGAAUCUUCGGAUUCUAGUGGCGGACGGGUGAGUAACGCGUAAGAAUCUAACUUCAGGACGGGGACAACAGUUGGAAACGACUGCUAAUACCCGAUGUGCCGCAAGGUGAAAACUAAUUGGCCUGAAGAAGAGCUUGCGUCUGAUUAGCUAGUUGGUGGGGUAAGAGCCUACCAAGGCGACGAUCAGUAGCUGGUCUGAGAGGAUGAGCAGCCACACUGGGACUGAGACACGGCCCAGACUCCUACGGGAGGCAGCAGUGGGGAAUUUUCCGCAAUGGGCGAAAGCCUGACGGAGCAACGCCGCGUGAGGGAGGAAGGUCUUUGGAUUGUAAACCUCUUUUCUCAAGGAAGAAGUUCUGACGGUACUUGAGGAAUCAGCCUCGGCUAACUCCGUGCCAGCAGCCGCGGUAAUACGGGGGAGGCAAGCGUUAUCCGGAAUUAUUGGGCGUAAAGCGUCCGCAGGUGGUCAGCCAAGUCUGCCGUCAAAUCAGGUUGCUUAACGACCUAAAGGCGGUGGAAACUGGCAGACUAGAGAGCAGUAGGGGUAGCAGGAAUUCCCAGUGUAGCGGUGAAAUGCGUAGAGAUUGGGAAGAACAUCGGUGGCGAAAGCGUGCUACUGGGCUGUAUCUGACACUCAGGGACGAAAGCUAGGGGAGCGAAAGGGAUUAGAUACCCCUGUAGUCCUAGCCGUAAACGAUGGAUACUAGGCGUGGCUUGUAUCGACCC
rnacentral:rRNA from 1 species